rnacentral:rRNA from 1 species
CCUACGGGAGGCAGCAGUGGGGAAUAUUGGUCAAUGGGCGUAAGCCUGAACCAGCCAAGUCGCGUGAGGGAUGAAGGUUCUAUGGAUCGUAAACCUCUUUUAUAAGGGAAUAAAGUGUGGGACGUGUCCUGUUUUGUAUGUACCUUAUGAAUAAGGAUCGGCUAACUCCGUGCCAGCAGCCGCGGUAAUACGGAGGAUCCGAGCGUUAUCCGGAUUUAUUGGGUUUAAAGGGUGCGUAGGCGGCCUUUUAAGUCAGCGGUGAAAGUCUGUGGCUCAACCAUAGAAUUGCCGUUGAAACUGGGAGGCUUGAGUAUGUUUGAGGCAGGCGGAAGGCGUGGUGUAGCGGUGAAAUGCUUAGAUAUCACGCAGAACCCCGAUUGCGAAGGCAGCCUGCCAAGCCAUGACUGACGCUGAUGCACGAAAGCGUGGGGAUCAAACAGGAUUAGAUACCCCGGUAGUC